rnacentral:rRNA from 1 species
GACGAACGCUGGCGGCGUGCCUAAUACAUGCAAGUAGAACGCUGAAGAGAGGAGCUUACUCUUCUUGGAUGAGUUGCGAACGGGUGAGUAACGCGUAGGUAACCUGCCUUGUAGCGGGGGAUAACUAUUGGAAACGAUAGCUAAUACCGCAUAACAAUGGAUGACACAUGUCAUUUAUUUGAAAGGGGCAAUUGCUCCACUACAAGAUGGACCUGCGUUGUAUUAGCUAGUAGGUGAGGUAAUGGCUCACCUAGGCGACGAUACAUAGCCGACCUGAGAGGGUGAGCGGCCACACUGGGACUGAGACACGGCCCAGACUCCCACGGGAGGCAGCAGGAGGGAAUCUUCGGCAAUGGGGGCAACCCUGACCGAGCAACGCCGCGGGAGGGAAGAAGGGUUUCGGAUCGGAAAGCUCUGUUGUAAGUCAAGAACGGGUGUGAGAGUGGAAAGUUCACACUGUGACGGUAGCUUAACAGAAAGGGACGGCUAACUACGUG